GUGCCUAACACAUGCAAGUCGGGCGGGGAGUGGCAGAGUACCGCGCUCCCAGCGGCAGACGGGUGAGUAACGCGUAGGCAACAUGCCCAUAAGAGGGAGACAACCAGCCGAAAGGUUGGCUAAUAUCCCCGUAAUACCCUGGGGAGGCAUCUUUUCCGGGUUAAAGCAGCGAUGCGCUUAUGGAGUGGCCUGCGGCCUAUCAGCUGGUUGGUGAGGUAACGGCCCACCAAGGCAUAGACGGGUAGCCGAUCUAAAAGGAUGACCGGCCACAAGGGGACUGAGACACGGCCCCUACUCCUACGGGAGGCAGCAGUGGGGAAUUUUGGACAAUGGGGGAAACCCUGAUCCAAGCGACGCCGCGUGAAGGAUGAAGGUUUUCGGAUUGUAAACUUCUUUUGCAGGGGGCAAAGGCCGGCAACGGCGUGAUGGUACCCUGUGAAUAAGCCACGGCUAACUACGUGCCAGCCGCCGC
rnacentral:rRNA from 1 species